rnacentral:rRNA from 1 species
UACAUGUGGGGCAAGCGUUGUUCGGAAAUACUGGGCGUAAAGCGCACGUAGGCGGCGCAGCAAGUCAGGGGUGAAAUCCCGGGGCUCAACCCCGGAACUGCCUUUGAAACUGCAGUGCUAGAAUCUUGGAGAGGCGAGUGGAAUUCCGAGUGUAGAGGUGAAAUUCGUAGAUAUUCGGAAGAACACCAGUGGCGAAGGCGACUCGCUGGACAAGUAUUGACGCUGAGGUGCGAAAGCGUGGGGAGCAAACAGG